rnacentral:rRNA from 1 species
ACUUCCGUUGGUGAACCUGCGGAAGGAUCAUUACCGAGUGAGGGCCCUCUGGGUCCAACCUCCCACCCGUGUUUAUUUUACCUUGUUGCUUCGGCGGGCCCGCCUUAACUGGCCGCCGGGGGGCUUACGCCCCCGGGCCCGCGCCCGCCGAAGACACCCUCGAACUCUGUCUGAAGAUUGUAGUCUGAGUGAAAAUAUAAAUUAUUUAAAACUUUCAACAACGGAUCUCUUGGUUCCGGCAUCGAUGAAGAACGCAGCGAAAUGCGAUACGUAAUGUGAAUUGCAAAUUCAGUGAAUCAUCGAGUCUUUGAACGCACAUUGCGCCCCCUGGUAUUCCGGGGGGCAUGCCUGUCCGAGCGUCAUUGCUGCCCUCAAGCACGGCUUGUGUGUUGGGCCCCGUCCUCCGAUCCCGGGGGACGGGCCCGAAAGGCAGCGGCGGCACCGCGUCCGGUCCUCGAGCGUAUGGGGCUUUGUCACCCGCUCUGUAGGCCCGGCCGGCGCUUGCCGAUCAACCCAAAUUUUUAUCCAGGUUGACCUCGGAUCAGGUAGGGAUACCCGCUGAACUUAAGCAUAUCAAUAAGCAAGAGAAAUU